CAUCCUAAGUUCUAGCUGCUUCCAGUAGAUUCUUGGGGCUAUCUUCCUUGCACCUUUAAACACUACUCACCAUUAGUGAACCAAUUAGUCAGUGGUGGUGGCCCUUCCUAGAAACAGUAUUCAUGACUCUCAUAAUCCCCAUUGUCACUUCUGCUUUUAGUUCUUUGAUUUACUACAUUGUUUUUUAAAUCAUAUUCUCCUUAAUUCACAACUUAUUUUUCUUCAUCAUUUAAAUCUGAGAAUGCUCACCAUAUUGUGAUAGAUUGAAUCACUGGUUUUUAUCACCACUCUGCCUCCUCACGUUCCUGCUCUUGUGAGAAGUCAGCGAGAGGCUCACAGUCCACUUAAUCUCACCCUCUCUUCUUAGCUUCUCCUUAAAAAAAAUAAAUGAAAUUAUUUCUUUUAUAUUCUCCCAAAACUUUUCCAGCCAAAAUAUACCCUGUCUCUGAUGUACUGAUGUAGUCCUUCCACUUCCUCCCCCACCAAUAGCCACUUUUAAAAGUGAAACAUCAGGUUUAGAAAUCAAAGAAGAGAAAAAGGUGUGUGUGUAUGUGUGUGUGUGUGUGUGUGUAUGUGUGUGUGGUGAGAGAGAGAGAAAAUAUAAACUGUAAUAGCUGUGUUAUGCAAUGCAUACUAAAUAAGGAUAUUUGGCUAUUCUUUUUGUAAUGAACAUUUAUAACAAUAUUUACCAGACAUUGGAUAAGAUAGAGAACUGGGAACAAAUUUAAUUAUGACAUUUGAGAGAAUGAAUUCAUUGACCUGCUCCUUAUGAAACUAUUCUACACAGGGGAGCAAGACUAGUGCUAUCAAAAACGGAAAGGCAAUCACAAAUAUUUGAGAUUUUUGGGAUUAUGGGAGGGCUCUUUUCUAGCAGGUGUGGGACAUCAAAUCAUUAACAUUUAAUACAGAAUGAGUUAAUAGCAUACUACAUUCACGCUUUGUGGGAUUAAGGAUAGAAUACCAUAAGGUUGCUAGCUAUGUCAGCUGGGGUCAAUUUCUCAUGGGAAAAAAAAAGUAGCCAAUAAUUUUGGUCUUUCCUAAUUCACAGAGUUGAUAAAAUCUUUGGAAGUAACUUGAAAAAUAUAAGGAUUGUAUAAAUAUAACUUAUUUUAAGCCUUUGUUUUAAAAUUGGCAAUCCUAUUAUUGCUUGUAUUAAUCAGGAAAUCAAUGAAUAUAACCUUUGAUUUAAAAAAAAUUGUUUUAUUUGGCAUGUUCCAGAGUGCUUACACUGACUUUUGAUUUGGUCAUAUUUAGUAUCAUUCAAGAUAAAUUUAUUAGUUUUACCUGAAUUAGUAUUCAAAUGGUCAUGCAAAACUUACAAAACACAAAUAGGGUAAUAAAUACUACUGCUGGUCAAAUUUGUAAAUCUUAGCCACUUUAUUCUGGGUUUAUUCCUUUGCCUUUAAGAUAGAAACUAGUAACAUUAAUAGUAACUAAAAAUAAUAACACAUUUAUGAGGUUCAUUUAAACCAAGUGUACCAGUAUCAACUCUCAAACUUAUUCCUUACAUUUUACUUCUUAAAUUUAAACAAUGUAAAAAUAUGAUCCAUCUUUUUUAUCCAUCUUUUUAUGAAGUGCUAUUAAGUAACUAUUCUAAAGCAACAUAUUACUCUAUUUCCAAAUAUCUAAUUGCACCUUUGAUGAUAUGUGACUAUCUUAAUGCAUAUUUCUCAACAUCUUGGAAAUAGCAGUAAGCAAUACAUCCCAUUCUCUGAAUUUAAUUAUAAAUCAUGGUAAAAUGGUUCAUAAUUCUAGGAAACUAAUGUUAUUAAAAUAUCUAUUCAUGUCUAUUUAUUUCACUUUUGUCUAUCAGAUUUUAAGAUUUAGUCUUGCUCAUUAUUAUUACUUCCCAAAGUUGGGUUGAAGUAUUUCUACUGCUCAAAAGGAAAUUAAAAUAUCUAUACAGAAAUGUAAAAAAAGCAGAAUAUUAAAGUUAAAAAUUAAAAUUUUCAGUGCAAUAUCCUUGAAAAGAGGUCCAAUAAAUUUGAAUUAAGUUUUUCACAUUCAAUAUUAAAUUUGUCUUAAUUUUACUAAAGUCUGUAGUUUGUCAAUCUUAAGCAUGGAUUUUGGUAGAAACAGUAAUUAAUACUGAAUCUCAUUUUAGGAUAUUUAUAAAAUAUAAAAACAUUUUACUUCAUAGAGCUAAUGUUCUUUUAUUAUUACAAACAUUAAAACUUUAUGAUCUUAUAUGUUGGCAUGAUGGGGAUACUGGUUAAUCAUAAAGUUUUUUUAUUAAUAAAUAAAUUAUUUAAUUUUCCAGUUAUAUUUCUUUCUACAAUUUGCCAUAACCAGCAUGAGCAGGGAAAAAAAAAACAAAACAAAACCAGAAGAUACUUUGAAAAGGAAUAACACUAUAAUAGUGAUUUCAAAGGAAAAAAAGAAGAAAAAUAAGAGUCUAGUUAAUGAGAUAAUUUACUAAAAUUCUAGCAUCCUUCUAUGAACCUAAAAGAUCCAAACUCACAAAUCUGGAUGAAAAAUAAAACUGCCCUAUGAAAAUAAGCCAAAAGAUAAACCAAUUGACACAAAUAUAUAAAAAUAUUCAAGGGUUGAGAAUAAAAUCUUAUUGUCUUAUGCCAAUUGGAUUAGCAAUUAAAUUCUUUUAUGUGAAUCAGGUUGUGGAGAAAUGAAUACAACCAUACAAAUUUACAAUAACAAUUUGUCAAAUUCUUUUCAAAAGAAUCUUGGCAAUAAGCAACAUGUCCCAAUAAUGUUCAUAUUAUUUGACUAGUAAUACUACUGCUGGAUAUUUAUCAUGCAGAAAUAAUUUAAAUGAAGUAAAAUAGUAUGCAUAUGAGACUGAGCUGUUUAUAACAGUGAAAAACCUGAAUUAAACUCUCUAUGUUGUUCUAUCGGGAACAAGAAGUUAAAGGAUAUUUUUCUUGUUCCUUCGAAUAUUAGGCCAAGAUUGAAGCCAGAAAGCAACAAAAACCAAUAAAUCUGAUGAUAAGGUUCUAUAAGUUUCAAUAAAUUGUUAAAGCUAGUCAAAUUCCUGCAGUGCAUACAGAGAGGAUUCCAAAGUUACUCCGUGCUAAAGACUGAAUAUUUAUGUCUCCCCCAAAUUCAUUAUGUUGAAACCUGAUCCUCAAUGUGAUGGUAUUAGAAGGUGGGGCCUUUGGGAAGUGAUUAGGUAUGAGGGUGGAACCCUCAUGAAUGAGAUUAGUGUCCUUUAAAAAAGAGCCCAGAAAGCUCCCUCUUCUCCUCUUCCCUGAGAGGAUUAGAAGAAGGAAGACAACCAUCUGUAAACCAGGAAACAAGCUCUAGAUACUGAAUCUGUGACUACUUUGAUCUGAGACUUCCUUGCCUCUAGAAUUGUUAGAAAUAAAUUUCUGUUGCUUGUAAACCACCACGUCUAUGGUAUGUUGUUAUAGCAUCUUGAACUAAGACAUUCCAUUAUAUCCUUUCCUCGCAUAUGGAAGUGAGAUGAAACAAUAAGGUUCCUAGUGAGCAAAACUUAAGGAGGUACAUACAGAGUCCUGAGAGUAAAUGCCUCCUUAAAUAUUUUGCUCUAGACUUCUUCACUAGUUGAUUAUUGGUUUAGCUUAUAGACUCCAUGGAAUGUCUGUGGGAUACACAAACAUGGGAAAGCAUAACUAGAGUGAGGAAGAGAAAGGGGAGUAGGGAAGAGGGGGCUGAAGGAGGACUGGUAGUGGAGGAGCCUAAGAGCCCAUUAUUUGGCAUGGUGGGGUUUCAGGUCUCCUGUGGAGAUCUGGGAUGACAUUUAAGUCUAUGCUGUCAUCUUCCAAAAUUUCUUGUGUUCCACAGAUCCUUCUGCUUCUGGAGUUGCCUUACUCUGUGAGCAGCCUUCAUGGUGCAGUACUGACAGGAUGUUUCAAAUACAGAAUUGUCCAGAUUUUCCUUCAACAUACAGGAAAUAUGCAACCUUGUUGUGUUAAACAGUGGGUUGACUCUUCACUGUCAUUCUGCCAUCAGUCCUAUUGCCUUGUACAUGGAUUAUUUUUAAAGUUCCUAUCACAAACUCUCUGGACUCUGUCAUUUGGUAUCAGUACUGUCAAUAUGUGGAAAAAAGUCUGAAGAUGUGUCUUACAUAUGCAUGUACUUAGUACAGCUCUUUACAGAUUCUCUGAUUCAUUCAUUUACAUCUCAGCUAAGGUUUCUCUGUUGAGAGCUCUUCAAACAUGAAGCAAAUAAAUAUGUACAGAAUUCCCAGAGUUACACUGCCAUUUGUAUAAUUCUUUAAAGCAACCAAAAGUAAAUCACAAAAACUCUUGUUUUCCUUCCUGAUACUGGUGUCUCUUUGGGAUCCUAUAAAAGCAGGGUGCCAUUCUCAAGGUUAUCAGAGAGUUUU
rnacentral:lncRNA from 1 species